rnacentral:rRNA from 1 species
UACGGGGGGAGCAAGCGUUGUUCGGAUUUACUGGGCGUAAAGGGCGCGUAGGCGGCCACCGCAAGUCAGUUGUGAAAGCUCUGGGCUUAACCCAGAAAGGUCAGCUGAUACUGCGGGGCUAGAGUGCAGAAGGGGCAACUGGAAUUCUCGGUGUAGCGGUGAAAUGCGUAGAUAUCGAGGGAACACCUGCGGCGAAGGCGGGUUGCUGGGCUGACACUGACGCUGACAGCGCGAAAGCUAGGGGAGCGAACGGG